CGAGAGGCUUCGGCAAUGGGGGAAACCCUGACCGAGCGACGCCGCGUGAAGGAUGAAGGCCCUUGGGUUGUAAACUUCUUUUGUUCGGGAAGAAAUGCGAUCAGGUAGAUAAUCUGGUCGUUUGACGGUACCGGACGAAUAAGCUCCGGCUAACUCCGUGCCAGCAGCCGCGGUAACACGGGGGGAGCAAGCGUUGUUCGGAAUCACUGGGCGUAAAGGGCGUGUAGGCGGUCAAGUAAGUGGAAUGUGAAACGCCUCGGCUUACCCGAGGACCUGCAUCCCAAACUGCUUGGCUUGAGUAUGGGAGAGGAUGAGGGAAUUCCUGGUGUAGCGGUGAAAUGCGUAGAUAUCAGGAGGAACACCGGUGGCGAAAGCGCUCAUCUGGCCCAAUACUGACGCUGAGGCGCGAAAGCUAGGGGAGCAAA
rnacentral:rRNA from 1 species